GGCUUCGUGGUGUAGUGGUCAGCAUGCUAGACGCAUAACCGAGAGGUCCGUGGUUCGAUUCCCGGCGAAGGCG
rnacentral:tRNA from 1 species